GACGAACGCUGGAGGCGUGCUUAACACAUGCAAGUCGAACGAUGAAAUGGAGCUUGCUCCAUGGAUUAGUGGCGAACGGGUGAGUAACACGUGAAUAACCUGCCCUUAAUUUUGGAAUAACCCAGGGAAACCUGGGCUAAUACCGGAUAAGUAAACCUGUGGCAUCACAUGGUUUUGGAAAGUUUUUCGAUUAAGGAUGGAUUCGCGGCCUAUCAGCUUGUUGGUGAGGUAAUGGCUCACCAAGGCGACGACGGGUAGCCGGCCUGAGAGGGUAAACGGCCACACUGGGACUGAGACACGGCCCAGACUCCUACGGGAGGCAGCAGGGGGGAAUAUUGCGCAAUGGACGAAAGUCUGACGCAGCGACGCCUCGUGAGGGACGAAGGUCUUCGGAUUGUAAACCUCUUUCAGCAGGGACGAAGCGAAAGUGACGGUACCUGCAGAAGAAGCACCGGUUAACUAUGUGCCAGCCGCCGCCGUAA
rnacentral:rRNA from 1 species